rnacentral:rRNA from 1 species
UAUCCCCCCCCUGUGUGCCCUUGCCCUCCCCCACGACUGCAUAACGCGAAGAACCUUACCACCUUUGACAUGUACGGAAUCCUUUAGAGAUAGAGGAGUGCUCGAAAGAGAGCCGUAACACAGGUGCUGCAUGGCUGUCGUCAGCUCGUGUCGUGAGAUGUUGGGUUAAGUCCCGCAACGAGCGCAACCCUUGCCAUUAGUUGCUACAUUUAGUUGAGCACUCUAAUGGGACUGCCGGUGACAAACCGGAGGAAGGUGGGGAUGACGUCAAGUCCUCAUGGCCCUUAUAGGUGGGGCUACACACGUCAUACAAUGGCUGGUACAAAGGGUUGCCAACCCGCGAGGGGGAGCUAAUCCCAUAAAGCCAGUCGUAGUCCGGAUCGCAGUCUGCAACUCGACUGCGUGAAGUCGGAAUCGCUAGUAAUCGUGGAUCAGAAUGUCACGGUGAAUACGUUCCCGGGUCUUGUACACACCG